rnacentral:rRNA from 1 species
AUCAAACUCCGAAUGCCAUGUAGACAGGACCGGGGAGUCAGACUGCACGAGAUAAGUUGGGGCAGUCAAAAGGGAAAGAGCCCAGACCUUCAGUUAAGGUCCCAAAGUGUACGUUAAGUGGAAAAGGAUGUGGGGUCUCGAAGACAACCAGGAUGUUGGCUCAGAAGCAGCCAUUCAUUCAAAGAGUGCGUAAUAGCUCACUGGUCGAGAGGCCCUGCGCCGAAAAUGUCCGGGGCUGAAACGUACCACCGAAACUAAGGGAUCCGAAAGGAUCGGUAGAGGAGCAUUGCAUGCGGAAGGAAGCAGUACCGUAAGGAGCUGUGGACUGCAUGGAAGAGAGAAUGCCGGAAUGAGUAGCGAGAUAAAGGUGAGAAUCCUUUAGGCCGAAUAUCCAAGUUCCAGGUAAAGCUGAUCUGCCCUGGGUAAGUCGGGGCCUAAGGCGAGGACGAGAGUCGUAGCCGAUGGACAACAGGUGGAGAUUCCUGUACUGCGGUAUGACAGAACUGU